AAAUUGAAGAGUUUGAUCAUGGCUCAGAUUGAACGCUGGCGGCAGGCCUAACACAUGCAAGUCGAACGGUAACAGGAAGCAGCUUGCUGCUUUGCUGACGAGUGGCGGACGGGUGAGUAAUGUCUGGGAAACUGCCUGAUGGAGGGGGAUAACUACUGGAAACGGUAGCUAAUACCGCAUAACGUCGCAAGACCAAAGAGGGGGACCUUCGGGCCUCUUGCCAUCGGAUGUGCCCAGAUGGGAUUAGCUAGUAGGUGGGGUAACGGCUCACCUAGGCGACGAUCCCUAGCUGGUCUGAGAGGA
rnacentral:rRNA from 1 species